rnacentral:rRNA from 1 species
UCCGUAGGUGAGCUGCGGAAGGAUCAUUA